rnacentral:rRNA from 1 species
GGGGGGCAUGUGCACGCUCUGUUCACACAUCCACUCACACCCUGUGCACCCUCUGUAGUUCUAUGGUUGGGGGUUCUGUCCUCCUGCUGUGGUUCUGCAUCUUUACACACACACUGUAACAAAGUCUCAUGGAAUGCAUGUCGCGUUUAACGCAAUACAAUACAACUUUCAACAACGGAUCUCUUGGCUCUCGCAUCGAUAAAAAACGCAGCGAAAUGCGAUAAGUAAUGUGAAUUGCAAAAUUCAGUGAAUCAUCAAAUCUUUGAACGCACCUUGCGCCCUUUGGCCAUUCCGAAGGGCAUGCCUGUUUGAGUAUCAUGAACACCUCAUCUCUUUAUGGUUUUCCAUGAUGAGCUUGGACUUGGGGGGUUUUGCUGGCCUAUGGGUUGGCUCCUCUAAAAUAAAUCAUCUUACCAGUGUUUUGGGGGGUAUCAUGGGUGUGAUAACUAUCUACGCUUGUGGUUUUUCCACCGGGUAACCUUCAGCAGGGGAGGUUCGCUGGAUCUCAUAGAUGCGCCUCUCCUCAGAGAAGACAGCCCUUUAAAUGUUUGAUCUCAAAUC